GUCUAUGGCCAUGCCACCCUGAACAAAUCUGAUACCAUCUGACCUCGGAAGCAAAGCAGGGUCGAGCCUGGUUAGUACUUGGAUGGGAGACCACCUAGGAAGACCAGGUGCUAUAGAAG
rnacentral:rRNA from 1 species